GAUGAACGCUGGCGGCGUGCUUAACACAUGCCAGUCGAACGGAAAGGCCAGUGCUUGCCCUGGUACUCGAGUGGCGAACGGGUGAGUAACACGUGGGUGAUCUGCCCUGUACUUCGGGAUAAGCUUGGGAAACUGGGUCUAAUACCGGAUAGGACAACUUUUUGGAUAUUGUUGUGGAAAGCUUUUGCGGUAUGGGAUGAGCUCGCGGCCUAUCAGCUUGUUGGUGGGGUAAUGGCCUACCAAGGCGUCGACGGGUAGCCGGCCUGAGAGAGUGUACGGCCACAUUGGGACUGAGAUACGGCCCAGACUCCUACGGGAGGCAGCAGUGGGGAAUAUUGCACAAUGGGCGCAAGCCUGAUGCAGCGACGCCGCGUGGGGGAUGAAGGCCUUCGGGUUGUAAACUCCUUUCGCUAGGGACGAAGCGCAAGUGACGGUACCUGGAGAAGAAGCACCGGCUAACUACGUG
rnacentral:rRNA from 1 species